UUUUCUCUCUUCUUUCCAUUCCACGCUCUUUCCUUCUCUCUCUGCAAAAACCGAAAACAGAAGCGCUCCUCCCCCUCUCUCCAAACCUAGCCGCCACCCAUCUCCGACCACCACAACCCCAAACACAAAAGCUAAUACCACUACUGUAUCCUCUCCUUUUCCUCUUCUAUAUAGUGUAAUUUAAUUUAAGAUCGGAAGAAUUUGAAAUUUUACAUCUCCACCUUCUCUCUUAUUUUCCGGCCACCAUGGACUCUCCAUAAGAAAAAUAAACUGAUAAAUCUCUUCCUCUCAAUAAUAUCUAUGAAACUCACAAAUAAAAUUCAUGAUCAGACCACAUCGGACAACCGCGCCGGAAACAUCACUACCGUGCCGGAAAGUGUAAUGACAAUUGUUGGACUGAUAUUGGACUGUUUCUAUUUUACCCUAAAUAACCUAUCCCUUUCUGUUUGCCUUGAUCACCAUCUCCGGCCAGUAACUGCGUCGCCGCGACCGCGGUUAAGGGUUGAAAGUGUGAACUAGAUAGAAACCUCGUCGAGAGAGACAAAUCGUUCUCAUGUAGCGUAAGUGGAAUGUGUUUGAAGCUUGCUAAGGCUGUUAGCAAUUGGGGAUAGUUAAGGUAUCCAGGUGUGGUGAAGACUUGCAAGAUGUGAAUGACUUUGGCGAUAGAAAACAUCAAGACUCAAUGUCAUAGUGAGUCAUUUGUACUAAGUCAUCCUUGGCUUGGAAUUCAAGAUCAGCUUAGGGUUAUGUUUCAGAGUGUUGUCCAGGUCUGUUAUUGGGAAGUUUGUUGUUGAAGCUCAAUGCUUAAAUGUGUUAGUGGUAUUGACCUUCACUUGUUGUCAAAUAAUUUGUAAGAAAAUAUAUUCAAGUGGUCUAAUAUUUUAUAACCUUGGGCAUUUCUUUGGUCCUAGUUAUGGAAAAUAUUUAGACAGGUUGUCAUUAUGUUCUUUUAGACAGUAUGUUUAAUUGUGUUCUUAAACCUUUAAUUGAGAAAACAAUUUAUAAAAGAGGUCUUGUAUUA